CUGUUCUCAAAAGGAAGUGUCCCGGCUUCCUCCUGUGAGGGCAGGAGCCAGCUGACCACCGCCUUCAGGGACUGGAAGUUCUUCCUAACAGCUGGCUUAAGUCCUUCUGAUGACAUCCAUUAGACCCACGGGAACACAGGCCUGCGACAGUCUUUCUGCUCUCGAAUCUACUCCCAAGAGAUGAGCACCAGAACAUAACGCACCCCACACUGGACCCGAGGCCCAUCAGAAAUGGAGCAUGGUGGCCCUGGAGGGUAAGAAUGGCCUGAUGCACCCGUUGGAGAUGCUGGAUGAACUGAGAGGAAACCGACGGUAAAUAGCAGGGAAGGGGUCAGUCCUGAGUAUCGGCACCUAAGGAUUUUACAGAUUUUCAAUCAUACCCAAUCUGCUUACAAAUCUGGAGGUAAGAUUUCUACCUUAGCAAAAGUUUUAGAGAGUUAAAGCAAAGCCAAAGGUGUAAGAGAUGAGAGCAAUGGUCCCCGGGGGACCGGUCUGUCCCUUUGUUUUGUUUUGCUCUCCUCUCUGUCACACAGCAGGUGGCUCUCCUGAUGUGGGACAGAGGUUUUGGAAGAAACCUUUAACAGGCAUGCUUGGGUCUAGAGGAGGGGGAGCCACACCCUAACUCUAGAGUCAGAUUUUAGUGCAAAUGGAACAGCACAAAACAGCAGUCUAAUGCCACUCAUCCCUAAAAGACACCUGAGUCCCUGUAAAACAGAAUCCAGUAAACUGAGAACAAAGAAGGCUUGGAGAUAGGUGAUUUCUGAGCUCUGGCUAUAGACAGAGGAUGCUGCAGGAGGGAGCUGAAGCCCCAGGCAGUGUGUGCGGGGUGUGUGCGGGUGUGUGCGGGGUGUGUGCGGGUGUGUGCAGCGUGUAUGCACAUUGCAGCUGGCCUACUCCUUUGCUUUCUCCCCCUCAUGCUAGGUCUGGUUCCUGGCUCCCACUCUGCGACAAACUUACAGAUCCUUCUAUGGUAACCUAAAAGUCAGGGCACUGCCGGGCAGUGGUAGUAAUGCACCCCUUUAUCCCAGCACUUGGGAGGCAGAG